AGCAGCCGCGGUAAUUCCAGCUCCAAUAGCGUAUAUUAAAGUUGUUGCAGUUAAAAAGCUCGUAGUUGAAUUUCGGGAUUGGCGUACCGGUCGUGUCUUCGGGCAUGUACUGGUAAUGUUAAUCUCCACCUUCUAGUGAACUAUUAUGUCUUUAACUAGGUGUAAUAGGGAGCUAGGACUGUUACUUUGAAAAAUUAGAGUGUUUAAAGCAGGCUUUAUGCUUGAAUAGAUUAGCAUGGAAUAACGAAAUAGGACGGCAUGAUUCUAUUUUGUUGGUUUCUAGGAUCACCGUAAUGAUUAAUAGGGAUAGUUGGGGGCAUUAGUAUUCAAUUGUCAGAGUGAAAUUCUUGGAUUUAUUGAAGACUAACUACUGCGAAAGCAUUUGCCAAGGAUGUUUUCAUUAAUCAAGAACGAAAGUUAGGGGAUCGAAGA
rnacentral:rRNA from 1 species